AAGUCGUAACAAGGUUUCCGUAGGUGAACCUGCGGAAGGAUCAUUAACGAACUUGAAAUCGGGAGUCUGUUGCUGGUGCGGAAACGUACAUCGUGCACGGCUUCUGUGUUCAAUUCAACCCCUGUGCACCUCAUCGAAGCCGGUAGUCCCUUUAUCUUCUUCGUUUUGCCGGUCGCGUGCGGUGCGGAUUGCGAGUAGCGAGUAAGGCGAACGCAACUCCGGUUGUCAGUAGCUUGAAACCGAAAGUGGGUCUUGCCUUCACGUUCGGCCGGCGAGAGGGGGGAGAGGUCGAGGGUCGAAAGCUUUGACUUGCCAUUAAACGCUUUGUAUGUCUUGUGGAAUGUAUUAGCUCCUUCGUGGGCGAAAUAAAUACAACUUUCAACAACGGAUCUCUUGGCUCUC
rnacentral:misc_RNA from 1 species